GCGCGGGGUAGGAAGCAAGACUGAGGGGCCUCAGACCGAGCUUUUGGAAAAUAGAAAAGUCUCGCUCUCUGCCCCUCAGCCUAACUUCCUUUAU
rnacentral:pre_miRNA from 3 species